CCCGCUGUACUUAAGCAUAUCAGUCAGCGGAGGAAAAGAAAACAAAAGUGAUUCCAUUAGUAGCUGCGAGCGAACCUGGAAGAGCUCAAAACUGAGUCGGUCGUCGUUGGCCGUCCUUUUUAUAACAUAGUUUACCGGAUGGUCCUCGACAAUUUGUGGUCUGGCUAAGUCUGGUGGAAACCAGUGCCAUAGAGGGUGAUAGCCCCGUUUCUGGAUCACAUUGAGUCAACAUGUGGGCUUUCCGCAGAGUCACACUGUUUGAGAGUACAGUGUAAAGACGGCAGGUGAAUUCCUGUUAAAGCUAAAUACCACCCACACACCGAUAGCAAACAAGUAGCGCAAGCGAAAGUUGCAAAGAACUUUGAAAAGAGAGUUAAAAGACCUGAAACCACCCGCGGGGAAGGGCUGGGUCGAGUUGCGCGUAGCGGUGACUCAAGCCUCGUGCAGAUUGGUGCCUGGAUGUCCCUUACCUGCCCUCAUAGUGAUGGGGAGGGGCACCUGCGCUGGUCUGUCGGGGUGGCAUUUCAUUGCAGCGGCAAGCAUGGUUGCGGAUGCAGGAAGCUAGCAGGAGGGGCGAAGCCACUUGUCUCGGCAAGGGGUUCUCCGCUUGUGAAGCCUGCAUCUUCAAUGAUCAGCAAGUGCUGUCAACCUGGGCCUUUGGCAGUCUUUGCGGUGAGCGUCUGCUCUGGUGCUGGGGGUCGAUUCAUCGGUCCUCUGGUGCUCUGGGUUGGCGCGAGCUGUGAUCUCUUCCAGGUUUCAUUAAUGCUUGCAGAGUCAACGGAGCCCAGCCUCCCGUCUUGAAACACGG
rnacentral:rRNA from 1 species